rnacentral:lncRNA from 1 species
AGAGCGGCAGCAAGAUGGCGGCGCAACAGCGGGACUGCGGGGGUGCUGCGCAGCUGGCGGGGCCGGCGGCGGAGGCUGACCCCCUAGGACGCUUCACGUGUCCCGUGUGCUUAGAGGUGUACGAGAAGCCGGUACAGGUGCCCUGCGGACACGUCGCUUUGCCUUCACCUGUAAUGAUAGCAGCUCCCGUUUGUGGUGCGUUUUGUAAGGGCUGGACACUCUGCCAGGGGUCUGCUAUACAAACUGUAUCCUCCCAGCAGUCCUAGAGCUUUUGCUCUGCAUGCCUGCAGGAAUGUCUGAAGCCGAAGAAGCCUGUCUGUGGGGUGUGUCGCAGCGCUCUGGCACCUGGCGUCCGAGCCGUGGAGCUCGAGCGGCAGAUCGAGAGCACAGAGACUUCUUGCCAUGGCUGCCGUAAGAAUUUCUUCCUGUCCAAGAUCCGGUCCCACGUGGCUACUUGUUCCAAAUACCAGAAUUACAUCAUGGAAGGUGUGAAGGCCACCAUUAAGGAUGCAUCUCUUCAGCCAAGGAAUGUUCCAAACCGUUACACCUUUCCUUGUCCUUACUGUCCU